AUAGAAGUGCUGCCCUGGAAACACCUCACAGAGUAACUAUGUGGCUUGCUGUACUCGCAGGACUGCUAUUGGUUGGAUCUGUGAGGAAGAACUACAAGACAAAU
rnacentral:snoRNA from 1 species